ACAUCUUAAAUGUCUCGUUCUCGCUAGUAAGCAGUUUGUUUAUGCUGCUGUUUUGAUUUAGCUAGCCGGCUAGCUUGUUAGCCAGCUGCCCUCAUCUGUCAAGCCAGCUUUGAUGCUUUCAGUCGGCCAUGUAAUGUAUCUAUUUAAUGGGUAUUCGCUAAGUAUUUAGUAGUGUGCUUGGACAGAAAUGUCCUGGCUGACUCUGUACUGAGCUGGCCGUCAUACAGUUUGUAGCUAACUGCUGCCUUGAUAGUUAGCCGCGAUUUGCUGUGUCUGAAGCGUGGGUUUUGCACGGAUUUUAAGUGUGCAUGUUAAACUCUCUGCAGCUGUGGAAUGAUUAUCAGAAAAUUUGCAUGAUUGUGCAUUAUCACUCAAAGCCUAGCGUCAAUAAUGUGCCAUCAUAAAUCAUGGAUGGUGAAGUGUUUUGGAGCCAAGUCGUGAGCUGCGGCUGCUGUACUGUAGUGCAGGCAUGGAGUGGGAGGGGUGUGACAGGCAGCCGGAGCAGCAGGUUAAACACAGAUUUUCAGCCCCACAGCUGCAGACAGUAGCCUGCCUAUUGUUUAAAUAAACCGGCUCCGAGCUUGCAUUUGCAGCUCUAAAUGCUCGGCGCAUGCACCCGACUACUGCAGUUUAUUCCAUCACAUCAUUCCCCUAUAAAUAGAGCAGAAAAAUACAUCACAUUCACUUUUGGCCGAGACAGCCUAUGGCUAUGAAAAGCACAGUGAUGAGCAGAUUCGACACCAUUGAUGGAUGGAGUGGGUUUGCACCAGCAGUGUGCUCUUGCCUAAUGUGCAAUACACAGUAAUAACUUUUUUUGUCAGGCACCUACUCUGGCACAGUUUGAUUGAUGCUUGAAAAGCAGCUUCUCUGGUGUGAGAAGAACUAUCUAGGGUUGAAACGUUUUGAUCUGCUCUGAAUGAAAAAGCACUUGCUAUUGCCACAGUCAGUUGUAAUUUGUUUUCACAUCUUUUUAUUUUUGGUUCCCUUGUGUCAGUUAAAGUACAUAACCGUCUGAUUGUCAUGGUUAUGAUGAAAUGACAGUUUUGGGUGGUAAACUGACUCUUCUUCCGAACAUAAAUGUGUCAAUAACUGCAGAUGGUGACAAAACAACCACAGCAGAUUUGACACUGUGACAGUGGGAAUGCUGUUUGUGUGUCUGUAUCAAACCACACUGAUUUCAGCAAGACAUAACAUAACACUAGCCAGCCGGUUAAAUGAAAUGACAAUAUAAUGAUAUUGUUAUUACUGCAGCAUCUCCAAUAUUCAGUGGGUGAACUUUGGCAGUGGGCGUGUGGGUGCAGCACACAGGCCUGGUGAUUUGAGGUGUGGGUGGUGGGAAGCCGAUUCAAGGCAUCAAACAGACUUCUCAUCAAAGUCAGGAGUUGGAUGCAUUUUUAAUAGUGCCCUAGCUGUGAUGCUGGAGGAAUUCACUUCCACACACAGUGUCAGUUAGUGUUAGCCUAGACGAUGUACUACGCCACCUGUUUGAUGCUGUUAAUCCCACUGAUGAUUUUUUUUUUUUUUUUUUUAAUGUCAUGUCGGCAAAUAAUUGCCCAAUCAGGUAGUUCAAAGCUUUAAGUGAAAGGGAGCGUUUGUAUUCUGCUGCACUGCUCUUUCACUGAGCCCAUUCAGCAUUAUUAGAGGACACCUUUACAAUAACAAGAGGCUGAUAUUUAUAAAGGACACCGUGUGUUCAUGUAGAAACAUUCCGUCAAAAACUCAACAACUGCAUGUUUUUGUACUUCAUAAGUUCACUUUUUAAAAAAAUGUGAAAUUUUACUACACUCAUCUGAGUUCAUGGAAUUGACAGGCCUCCAGUAGAAAGCUACCUGACUGACUUUCCUUUUUCAAAACUGUAUUCAAAAAUUAUAGGCUACUUUUAGUGUGUUGCAACUGUGUUGAAUAAAAUGUAUUUUAAUUUUAUUUUUUGGAUAUAAAUGAGACUUUUGUUGUUAUUCAUUUAUUUUAUUUAUGGUUUGUUUGAUAGGGACAGAUACAGUAUGCAUAGUCAAAACUGAAAACAGCUAUUCCCCUGCGAGUAUCACAGUGUUUAUAGCAGAUGCUAGUUUGCAACACCCGUCCCUAGAAGGGCUUUUAUGAAACUAUAUGAGAUUAGAACAGU